rnacentral:rRNA from 1 species
GACGAACGCUGGCGGCGUGCUUAACACAUGCAAGUCGAACGAAGUGGCCAACGGGUGAGUAAUACGUGGGUAACCUGCCCUCCUUUUUGGGAUACGCCUUGGGAACGCUGUCUAAUACCGACUAAAGGGGGAUGGGCUGGAGGCGUAUCAGCGUGUUGUUGGGGUGAUGGCCUACCAAGUCGGUGACGGGUAGCCGGCCUGAGAGGGUGAACGGCAAAAUGGGAACUGAAACACGGUCCAGACUCCUACGGGAGGCAGCAGUGGGGAAGAUUGCACAAUGGGCGCAAGACUGAGGCAGCCAUGCCGCGUGUAUGAAGAAGGCCUUCGGGUUGUAAAGUACUUUCAGCGAGGAGACGUUACCCGCAGAAGAAGCACCGGCUAACUCCGUGCCAGCAGCCGCGGUAAUAC